CCUGCACUACAGCGGCCUAGCGCCCUGCCCCGCCCCGCCCCAGCCUGGUCGGCCCGGCCGGGGGAGGGGUCGCGGUAGCGGCGGCGUCAGCGACACCGAGGCGGUAGGAGCUUCAGGCUCCGGAGCAAGAUGGCGGCGCGGGUGUUGCUCGCGCGAGGAGGCCUGCUGCGGCCAGCCGCCCAGAGCGGCUUCCUGCCGGGGCUCCGGACAGUGACAUCCUCAAGUCACCGAGCUCGGGAAGACAGCUGGCUAAAGUCCUUGUUUGUCAGAAAGGUCGAUCCAAGGAAAGAUGCCCACUCCAACCUCCUAGCCAAAAAGGAGACGAGCAGUCUGUACAAGUUACAGUUUCACAACGUUAAGCCGGAAUGCCUAGACGCAUACAACAAAAUUUGUCAAGAAGUGUUACCAAAGAUCCACGAAGGCAAGCAGUACCCUUGUACCCUGGUGGGGACGUGGAACACGUGGUAUGGCGAGCAGGAUCAAGCAGUCCACCUCUGGAGGUAUGAAGGAGGCUAUCCAGCCCUCACGGAGGUCAUGAAUAAACUCAAAGAAAACCAGGAAUUUGUAAAUUUCCGAAAGGCCAGAAGUGACAUGCUUCUCUCCAGGAAGAACCAGCUGCUGCUGGAGUUCAGUUUCUGGAAUGAGCCAGUGCCAAGACCGGGCCCCAAUAUAUACGAACUCAGGUCCUACCAACUCCGACCAGGAACAAUGAUCGAGUGGGGCAACUACUGGGUAACUAUUAAGAUGGUGAUCUCCUCUGCGGCACACGUUUGUCGUUAUUACCAGGCUACGGGCCCGGGCCAUUCGCUUUAGACAGGACAGUAAUGAGGCAGUUGGGGGAUUCUUCUCUCAAAUUGGGCAGCUCUAUAUGGUGCACCAUCUUUGGGCUGAGGACUGCGCUUCUAGAAGGUGGGCAUUGGGUCUGACUGAGGCCGCAUUCCUGUGCUUCUGUUCAAGCUUAUAAAGAUCUUCAGACCCGGGAGGACAUCCGGAACGCGGCCUGGCACAAGCAUGGCUGGGAGGAGCUCGUGUACUAUACAGUCCCACUCAUUCAGGAAAUGGAGUCCAGGAUCAUGAUCCCGCUCAAGACCUCCCCGCUCCAGUGACGCUGCCGUGUGCCUACGCAGAUUACAGUGACGAAUACGUGUCAUGAUUUCAUCUCACCCAGUCACCGAGUGGAAAGCAAGCCGAGGUGUAAACUGCUGUACAUAGCUUGUAAGAUCUCUUUCCUUUAAAAUUGAAUAAUCAAGAACGGGAACUCAGGAGGGUUGAACUACCAGAAGCGGUGCAGCCUCAGCUCACCAACCGCUCCUUAGCCUCCGGCCCUUCAGGAAAACAGGAUCAUUUGAAGCCAGGUGUGGUAGCUUAGCACUCAGGGAGCUGAGGCAGGAGAAUUACAAUAAGUCCUAGGCCAAUCUGGGCUACAUAGAGAGUUUCAGACCAGCUUGGACCUUGUGAGACCCUGUCUCAAUAACCAAAAUUAAAGUUUGAAUUCUCUCUGAGUAAAAUCCCAGCUAUGAAAAAGAAUCAGCUACUAUUUCUUGCUAUUAAAAAAAAAAUCUGUUUUACAAUUACAGAUUUUUUUUUUUUUUUUUACAAAUUUCCUUCCUUCAGGAAGAAAUACAAAUGAAGUCACGUUUCCUGAGCAGUUUUUCUGAGUCUCAAACUAGGAACAAAUUCUGAGUGUACCAAUGGCUGCGAAUGCUAUGAUUUUGUGACUUCUGGUCAGUCGGUCAGCAGGCCGGGAUGUAUCAUUACCCUGAGCGAGCUGGAAGGGUGGUCACCCUGCACCUAGCCAGCCAUGCAGGCUCCAUCAGGCACCGUGUCCCCAGGGGUGGGCAUGAACCAGUGCGCCACAUGUGAUUUUGAAAUAAACACCUCAACUAGCACUAAUUUUAUUUGCAAUAUUUUUCUAUAAAACAAGUAGCUCUUGGAAAAGAGGUUUUCUUUUCUAAGCCGCCGUUCGUGACCUCUGACCUCUGGUUCUAUUUUGGUAAGCUCCCAGCAGACACUUCCAAGUCUUGUACCAAGGGCAGUGCACACUAGGUCUAAGUUGGCAUAAACCUUCAUAUUCUGUCUGUCUCUGUUUGGUUUUGUUUUUAAUAUAGUGUGCCAAUUUUGUGACUGUAAUCAUGUGAAAGCCCCAUUGAACCGAAGAAUUAUGUCUGCCCUACAAAUUGAUUUGUGUAAAAUAAAGUAUAACUAAAUCUCCUAUCAGAUGUCUAAUUUUUACAUGCGAAUGAUUUUCUCCAAGAACAUACUAAAGUAAAUAAAAGCCUCUUACUUUUCA